GAUGAACGCUGGCGGCGUGCCUAAUACAUGCAAGUCGAACGAGGUGCUUGAGUAGCAAUACGAGAGUAUCCUAGUGGCGAACGGGUGAGUAACGCGUUGGUGACCUACCCCAAAGUGUGGGAUAACAGUCCGAAAGGAUUGCUAAUACCGCAUGUGGUCUUCGGAUUUAGAAACUGAUGACUAAAGCAGCAAUGCGCUUUGGGAGGGACCUGCGUCCCAUCAGCUAGUUGGCGAGGUAACGGCUCACCAAGGCGACGACGGGUAGGGGACCUGAGAGGGUGGCCCCCCCACAAUGGAACUGAAACACGGUCCAUACACCUACGGGUGGCAGCAGUAGGGAAUAUUGCUCAAUGGGCGAAAGCCUGAAGCAGCAACGCCGCGUGUGCGAUGAAGGCCUUCGGGUCGUAAAGCACUUUUCUGAGAGAUGAGAAAGGACAGUAUCUCAGGAAUAAGUCUCGGCUAACUACGUGCCAGCAGCCGCGGUAAU
rnacentral:rRNA from 1 species